GAUGAACGCUAGCUACAGGCUUAACACAUGCAAGUCGAGGGGUAACGAGAGGAAAGCUUGCUUUCCUUGUCGACGACCGGCGCACGGGUGAGUAACGCGUAUCCAACCUGCCCCCAACUAGGGAAUAACCUUGCGAAAGUAGGACUAAUACCCUAUAAUUUCCUCAGAUGUCAUCUGACGAGGAAUAAAGAUUUAUCGGUUAUAGAUGGGGAUGCGUCUGAUUAGCUUGUUGGCGGGGUAACGGCCCACCAAGGCAACGAUCAGUAGGGGUUCUGAGAGGAAGGUCCCCCACAUUGGAACUGAGACACGGUCCAAACUCCUACGGGAGGCAGCAGUGAGGAAUAUUGGUCAAUGGGCGGAAGCCUGAACCAGCCAAGUAGCGUGCAGGAUGACGGCCCUAUGGGUUGUAAACUGCUUUUAUACAGGAAUAAAGUUAGCCACGUGUGGUUAUUUGUAGGUACUGUAUGAAUAAGGACCGGCUAAUUCCGUGCCAGCCGCCGCAGUAA
rnacentral:rRNA from 1 species